UAGAGGAAGUAAAAGUCGUAACAAGGUCUCCGUUG
rnacentral:rRNA from 1 species